GUACGUUUCGCAUUUGAUUGACGGGGAACGCAUGCGCCCUAAAAACUUUUCCCCAACGCACCCAUACAUGGCUGACGGUACCGAGAGCUGCUGCCGGGAUCGAUCGAGGCCGAAAGACCAGCAGUGCGUCGAGCCUGUUACCAUCGUCCCGUUGAAACAGCGCGGAAAUUUGGAAUAAGUGAAAAUGGGUAAACAUCUGCAAACCGUUGCGGCAAUGGCCUGCAUGAAGACGCUGUUGAUACUCUUCAAUUUUGCAUUUGGGUGCACCGGAGUACUGAUGCUGUGUGUUGGGAUCUGGAUGCGUAUUCAGCUCCGAGAGUACGUAGAUAUGAGCAUUGAAGGUAGCGGUGCAGCGCCUUUGGCUCUGGCCUGCCUCGGCAUCCUCGUAGUCGUAGCCUCUAUCUUGGCAUGUUGUUGUACGGCACGUGGACAUCCGGCACUCUUAUACCUUUACGGAGCAUUCUUGGCGGUUGUGGUACUCCUAGAGCUGGGAUCAGGUGCCUCCGUUUAUGCAUAUCGCAACGCUCUGACCGAGGGCUUCGAUCAAGGGCUCAAUGAAAGCUUGGUUCUCUAUGUAGACGACCCCAACAAACACCAUGAUAUCGAUACCAUGCAGUCUACCUUGCAUUGCUGUGGAAACCGCGGCUACACUGACUGGCACUCCAUAAACUUACCGGAAGAGAUUCCUAAAUCUUGCUGCAAGCAGCUUGAAAACCCGUGUGACUCUUCGAAUCUGGAUAACGUGUAUACUCAGGGCUGCUACAACCGGGUUGUCGACUUCAUAAACAGCAACAUUGGGUUGGUGGCUGGUAGUGCUGUAGGUGUUGCAUUCUUUCCUCUCAUUGGAGUCUUCCUUGCUUGUUGUCUGGCUAGUAAUAUCAACAAAGCCAAAUACGAGCAAGUUGCGUAAUUGAAUGACGCUGCGUGACGGUUAAUCACGAGAGAACGCAAUUAAACUAACAGAAACAAAAAUCAAAUUUUGAAACUGUGUUGAAGUAUCAGGAUGCGGAUGGGAGAGAAACUUAUAUAUUAUAAUUAUAUGUCAAUUAAUCAUUUA
rnacentral:misc_RNA from 1 species